rnacentral:lncRNA from 1 species
AUGGUAAAAAUGUAUAAGUGAUAAUAAAAAUUACUUCUCAUUGCUCCUCACAUUGCUAUCUUUCCUCUUCUUUUUGAUCUUUGCUUUGGGACAACAUGGGCUAUCUUUUUCUUCUUUUUUUCAGGUGGGUAGUAGAUACCCCUAAUUCUACUGUCGGACACUUGUCCAUUUUUUUUCGCUCAAGUGGGUAUCUUUGUACCCCUAAUUCUACUCUAGACACUUGUCCAUUUUUACCUCUCAUCUCACUCUUUUUCUUUCUUUUCCGAGGUUCCGGGCACUUGCCCCUUUUUAUUUCCUCGCAUAUUUUUGCAUAACCCAUGCCUCUUUUGCAUUGAAUCUUUUAGAGAGAGAGAAUAACAAUAUUUGGGACAGUGAGUGAUAAUAUACAUAUAUAUAUAUAUAUUAGCAAUUUUAAUGAAUGGUGGUGUGUAGUAGAUGUGUGCAAGUGAAUAUCUUAAUUUAACCACAUGAAAAUCUCCUAAGGGUCUACACAGCUCGAUCAAACUCAAUGUGAAUAUAGUAAAAUAUGUUAUAGCAAGUAUGGCUAUGGUAGGAAUUUUGUUAUGCUUGGAACUCAUCAUGUGAUUUGUAAGUUUCCAAAAUAAAUCUCCAGAACUUAGUGUAGUAGGAACAAGAUAAAGAGCAACUCAAACUUUAUAUUAUGUCCUUCUCUUACCUAGACUUUAGUUUUAUGCUUCCAAUAGAUAGUAAUUUCAGUUUUAAUAAUUUCUAGAAGAACUCUAGUAUAAAAGCUAGGUGCUUGAAAGUAAGCGAACAGAGCAACUAUUCAUCAUUUUCAUCAUGCAUUUUUUUUGUCUUUUUGUUUUUCUAGAGAUUAACACUUAGGAGGAAAAAUAAAGCAUACUUAUCUACACACUCUUUUUAUUUUGUUUUCAUGUUUAUAAAAGGCAGUAAAUUAAAGCAAGAAAAUAUUUAUUGACUUCUCUAAGUUUUUUAUUUUUA